rnacentral:rRNA from 1 species
GUGCCAGCAGCCGCGGUAAUACGGAGGAUCCAAGCGUUAUCCGGAUUUAUUGGGUUUAAAGGGUGCGUAGGCGGCUUUUUAAGUCAGGGGUGAAAACUUGCGGCUCAACCGUAAGCUUGCCUUUGAUACUGAGGAGCUUGAAUACACUUGAGGUAGGCGGAAUGUGACAAGUAGCGGUGAAAUGCAUAGAUAUGUCACAGAACACCAAUUGCGAAGGCAGCUUACUAAAGUGAGAUUGACGCUGAGGCACGAAAGCGUGGGGAUCAAACAGGAUUAGAAACCCUCGUAGUCC